GCUGGUUAAUGGACCUCACUUUAUUCCAGCUUUAUUAGCUAAUGGCAGCUAAAAGUGAUUUUACACAAAAUAAUGUGUCGGAGAUCAUUGUUCCCGGGCACAGGUCCCAAAUUCCAGCCCACGACCGAAGGCCAAACGUGCCCGUUAAUGAUUAAACCUCUGGAGUCAGUGCUCAGGGACACAGGCAGGGAGCAGCCCGGAGAGCUGCCGGUCAAGGUGCCCGGCCGGGUGGGGGUGGGGCAGCAGCCAGGCCCCGCCCAACAGGAACCAGUUCCUGCCCAAAGCAGGAGGGGAAAGGCUUUUCCACCAAGGGAAAGCUAAAUAUUGUCUAAAUCCGGCACCCAGGACGACACACAGGCUUCCCAUUGUCUGCCACACAGCAGGUCUCGGCCACGGCCCAGGUUGCACCCGUGUGAGGUCAGGGAGGGUGGAGCAUCCCGGGGAGGGGGCCUGCCCCCACCGUCUUCCUCUGCACCGAGGCACAUUCUUGGGAAAGGUCUUAUGUUGCCAAAAGGGCUUAACCACAUGACACAAGUGAGCGUAGGUGGGCACCAGUGAGGAAAAGCCAUCCUUGGCAGCAGAAGCCGGUGCAGGGGCGACGCUUCAGACCACAGGAAGCGAGCUCUCCACGGUGGCCGAGGGCUUUUCCACUCGGCGAGCCUGGGCACCAGUCCCAGCUCUGCUACCUUUUCGCUGUCGUAGGUUAUCUCAGUUUCCUCCUCUGUAAAAUGGGAACGUGGUACCUGACCUCAAGGUCACCAAGAGGUCUACCGAGUGGCCCCUGUGAAACACGUAGUGCCGGAGCCCUGGUACCUGCAAGCUCUCAAUACCCGGCGAUCACGUUCAUUACGAUUAGGAUCACCAGAUUCUGUUCCUUUGCGAGAUCCUUUCCAACUGCACUUUCAUGUCAGUGUUCGUUUGCAGGUUGAUGUUGGACCGUAUUUACAUUCAGUGUUUGGGGCUGACCGGGAAGAAAUCUGAAAGUGGAAGAGAAGGGAAGGCACCGGUAACCUCGUCUUCCCAAGAGGAGGUCAGAGGGCAGUUCAGACAUUGAAGGAAGAGACAAAGAGCCUUGAAUGUCACGAAAAGGAGGUUGGACUUUAUCCUGCAGGCAAUCAGAAGCCAGAAAGGUUUCAGGAUGGAUGGGCUGAUCAGAUUUGAGUUUCAACAGGCCACUGUAGACAGGCUCUCCUUAUGUUUCCCAGGCUGGUCUUUAACUCCUGUCCUCAAGUGAUCCUCCCACUCCAGCCUCCCAAAGUGCUGGGAUUACAGAUGUGAGCCACCGCGCCCGGCCUGGACUUAUUGUUAAAAAUACACUUACCAGCAUUUGUGUUCUUGUCUAUCGUCUUCUUGCCUGGCCGGAAUACAAACUCUGUGAGGACAGGGACCUCACUGUUUUGCUCAAGGCUGUGUCACCAGGGCCUGGACCUGGGUGGGUACAUGGAAGAAACCAGGCGACACCUGUUCAUGGAGCCUGCUGGCCCCUGGGGCAACAGGUACAUAGACAGCUCCAAGGUGGCAGAUUGUGAUGCGUGACCCAGGUCUGGGCAGUCUGGAGGAAUGUGGUGAGAUGCGUCAUCCCUGGGCGAUCUGGGGAAAUGCUGCAGAAGAAGGCUUUGAUUUUCAACAGAACAGGAAGCACUCCUUUCUGAGGGAUACACAGAGUGCUUUCUCGUACACAGGGAGGUGGGUGGACAAGGGCCUGGAGGUAGGGUCUUCAGACAGGUAAUUAGGUAAAAUGAAGUCCUAUGGCUGGGCCCUAAUGCAAUGUGACUAUGACCUAUGAAAAGAGAGACACCAGGCAGGUGCACACACAGCAAAAGAUCAUGUUAGGAGCCCACAAGAGGGUGGUCAUCUGCCAGCCAAGGCAAGAGGUCUUGGAAGAGUCCAGCCCUGCAGCACCUGGAGCUUGGACUUCCAGAAAACUACCACGAAACUGUGAGAAAAUAAAUUUCUGUUUUUUUAAGCCACCCAGUCUGUGGUAUUUUGUUAUGGUAGGCCUAGCAAACCAAUACGGGUCUUAGGCAUGUUUUUUUUUGUUGCUGUUGUUUUAUUUUGUUUUUGAGACAGGGUCUCACUCUGUUACCCAGGUGGGAGUACACUGGUGUUAUCUCGGUUCACUGCAGCCUUGACCCCCGGGCUCAAGCAGAUCCUUCCACCUCAGCCUCCUGAGAAGAUGGGACCGAAGCCGCCUGCCACUAUGCCCAGCUAAUUUUUAAAAUUUUUGUAGAGGCCAGGCGGCGGUGGCUCAUGCCUGUAAUCCCAGCACUUUGGGAGGCUGAGGUGGGUGGAUCACCUGAGGUCAGGAGUUCAAGACCAGCCUGGCCAACAUGGUGAAACCCCGUCUCUACUAAAAAUACAAAAAUUAGCUGGGCGUGGUGGCUCAUGCCUAUAAUCCCAGCUACUCAGGAGGCUGAGGCAGAAGAGUCGCUUGAGCCCAAGAGGUGGAGGUUGCAGUGAGCCAAGAUCGUGCCACAGCACUCCAGCCUGGGUGACAAGAGUGAAACUCCGUCUGAAAAAACAAAAAAACUAAAAACAAAAAACACAAAAUUUUUUUGUAGAGAUGGGGUCUCACCAUGUUGCCCAGGCUGGUCUCAAACUUUUG
rnacentral:lncRNA from 10 species